GCUUCUUGGACAGUACUCGAGGUCCUCUUUAGGUUUGUAGGCAUAGAUCAUUUUCUCCAAGCAGGCCUGUAACCUCCGGAGAAGCCAAAUGUUCUAUUCAAGGGCCAUGGACCCAGCUGGAAAGUCCUUUUCCAACUUUAAGGCUAUUGGAGUGGUCCAGAAAACCCGGGCAAUGCAUCACCAGAGUGGUAAUGGGCAUGAGAUCACACAUUUUUAUAUAGCGCACGACAAGACCCAAAACUCAGGGCUCCUUGUACUAGGAAAAAGCAUCCUUGGAAGUUGGAAAUAUGGAAAUCCAGUUCACGCUUCCAACUGCCUGGGAAAGCCUUCCUAUAUCCCCAUCGGUUUAAAGGUGAGAACCUUUAGAGGGCCUGGAGACCAAGGUGAGUAUGACAAUCUGGAGGAGGUUCCCAGAGGAUGCUCUCAGUCUACCAGACGAAGGGGUUCAUGACAAUCUGACAGAAGUUCCCAGAGGAUGCUCUCAGUCUACCAGACGAAGGGGUUCAUGACAAUCUGACAGAAGUUCCCAGAGGAUGCUCUCAGACAGUCUACCAGAUGAAGGGGUUCAUGACAAUCUGACAGAAGUUCCCAGAGGAUGCUCUCAGACAGUCUACCAGAUGAAGGGGUUCAUGACAAUCUGGAGGAAGUUUCCAGAGGAUGCUCUCAGACAGUCUACCAGAGGAAGGGGUUCAUGACAAUCUGGAAGAGGUUCCCAGAGGAUGCUCUCAGACAGUCUACCAGACGUUCCCAGAGGAUGCCCUCAGACAGUCUACCAGACGUUCCCAGAGGAUGCCCUCAGACAGUCUACCAGACGUUCCCAGAGGAUGCCCUCAGACAGUCUACUAGAUGAAGGGGUUCUCUGGCAAACAGUGAAGACUCAGUGCUACCCUAGUGGCAGUGGGGGAUGCGCAGGUCUGUGUGAAGUCUCCAUGCAGAAGCGUGAAGGCCCGUUUGGUAAAGGAAGGCAGCACCAGAUGGCUGUGCUUCCCGGACUGAAAUUCACCAGCUGCUCCAAGGUUGACAACGUCAGUGUUUACCAUUGCAGUUGGGAACCCAGGGCUCCGUCCCACAAAUGAUUGAUGAGGGAAGCUCAUGAGGUGAUCUGCUGCUGUGAGAUGCUUGCUUUAGGCUGCACCCGGCUGGCUAACAACUUCAAACUUUCCUCGGUAGGUAAAGGCAGAGGAGAACAAAGGAAAAGAGGAAGUAACCUGAGUCAUGCCCAGAG
rnacentral:lncRNA from 13 species